GUUCGUUCGUCGAAGAGCGAAGGGAAGAGAGACGAGAACGCAGAGGUCCUUUGAUCCUCGGCACUCGGUGUCGGCAAACAGGAACUCCGCUGGUGAACGCAGCCACCGCGCUUUAAUACCUCAUGCAAAUUUCAGGAAAAGGGCACCCCCGUUCGCCCUUCCACCACCCCCUCCUCCUCCUUCGACUCCUCACACUCCUGCACAGUGGUGAUAGUCCGCUAUAUUGCUUCCCGAACAAAUCGCUAUCCGCUUUUCGUCCCCUCGCACCCUCCCACCCUUCUCCUGUCGACUUCUGCAACGAAAUUUCGGAAUUAUUUGCGAACCGUACCGCUCGAGUACCUUCUUCCUUCGGUAGGCGAACUCUUUGUGAAGUCACAUCGAUCGAAAUCGAAUCAAGGAUGUUGCGAUCGGGCAAGUUCAUAGAAACAAAUCGCUCUCCAUAUUCCAAGUUACGACGUGGGAGGAUUCGAUCGGAAACGCCGCACGGGUCCGACGAUACUUUAGAGGUACCGACUCCCCCGGGGCCGAUCUACCGAGCUCGAUAUACAUACAAUACGGUGCAAUGCGGUAUACCGGAUCAACCGUGUUACUCGCGCGCGUAAGCGCUUCUCUUUCUCUCGUUCGAUCUCUCCCGUAUUCCUUCCUCGCCAGUUCAUAAUCGAGCAACGGAGCUAACCUUGGACGUUGAAUUGGAUUCGCCAGCUGCUUUGCGUUCAAAGCCACGUUAAAAUUUAUCGCUCAAAUUUCUACGGGGGACAUUAUUGCCGAGAUAUUCCGGAAAAGAGCAAGGGAAGCCGAGAACUCUUUUGGGAGCGUAAAAGGGAGUACCAAGAGGGCACCAGGAGGAUACCGGGAGAGCAACCAGGCGGGUACCGGCCGAGGAAGCAUGGAGUCGUCCUUUCCCGGGCAAAGGUACCUUUUUGCCCUGCGAAAUGGCCCGGAGAAUGUCAUCCAAUGAGGGUGAAGUAAGGGGAAAACAAGUAAAAUAAUGAUAAAAGGCGGAGCCCACGGCGUGAUUUGAUUGGUCGAGAUAUCGCCGGCGUUCGAGUCAACCCGCAAAGAAGAGGGGGAUGUCCUCUCUCUCUUUCUCUCUCCUUCCUCCUCCUCCUCUUCUACGACCGUCUUUCCUCUCCCUCUUUCUCUCUCUCUCUCUCUUUCCCUCUUCCUCCACCGCUUCCCUUUACCACACCUUCCUGGGCUCGUUCUUUCCGUCUCUCGUUCUAUCUGGCUCCCUCCUCUUUUCCUUCGUACGUACUCGCACACACGUACACGUACACGCUGGAAACUUACUUUAUUCUCCUCUCUCCACGGGUCCAUGGUCCACGAUCGUGUCCUGACUCUGGCAGAAGCAUCUUUGCCCCCCACUCUCGGCUUCUUGCCUGUCCUCCGCUGACUUCUUCUUCUCCUUCUUCAUUACCUACUCCUUCUGCUGCUGCUUUUGCUUCUUCCUUCGCUCGAAGAGCGUGAAUAUGUCCAACGUCGCAUAAGUAUCUACGCCGACCGGUCCUCUAUAUUUAAGUGAAAUAUACUCCUACCCCUCCACGAAAGAGAAACGUCAAGCCUAGAAAGAAAAGGAGAAACUGUUUACAAACGACGAAGAUGCUUUUACAGUCUUCUUCUUUGGAAGAGCGUGUAUUCGAGUAGUACAGGGUCAAAGAAAUUAUUAGUGACCGUAGCUAAACUGCCGAACCCGUCACGUGUUCCUCGUACCCGGGGGUGCUUCGUUGCGGAAAAGUAUAUUGACUUGUGAUACGCCAUCUGUGCGGAGGAAGCACCCUCCUCGCGGCGUUAUUGGCAAAAUUAAUAAGCCCGGCACCACGAUCAUCUCUCUCUCUCUCUCCUCUCUCUCUCUCCGCAAAUGGGAAUCAGUUAAUUCUGGCUUUACCCCCCGAAUCUCGUUGUUGGCGGAUUAGAAACGUUUCCAAACGAAUGGAAAUUGUUUGCUCCCGUCCGACGGUGACGACGAGCUCAAUGCGCAGGGGAAAAGCAGGAGAGAGGCUGGAGAGAGGCAAGAGAGAGGCAGGAGAGCUCGUUUGGCUCGCUUUGGCUUUUAAAGAAAGUAUCUACUACCGACGAUAAAUUACGUGAAUACGCUAAAUUACCGCGACCACGAUCGGUCAUUAUGGCACGUCGAGCGAUCGAGCUCUCUUCUCCGUUAAAUCACGGUUUUGCUCUCUUACGAGCGCCAAGCUGUAAUCUCCCGAGAGUGGAUCGAUGUAAAUUAAUGACCGAACGAUUAUUUCCAAACGUUCCUCGUUAGUGAAUUUUUCCAAUAUAACGAAGCCCCUCGCGAAUUUCCGUCGUCAAUCGGUCGAGCGAUAUUGGCCAUACAUUAGGGACAAGUACACGUUCCUCGAGUAAUUAUCGUCCUUAGAAACAUCUCGGCGACUUUCUACACGACCUAUAAUUUGGUCGUAGCGCGCGGUAACGCACGUUCCUUCCUUCCACGCGAACCGGUUUCUUUCUUUGUACUUUUACGAAAACAUCCAGUCGCGGAGCGAC